CUACGGGUCGCUGCAGUGAGGAAUAUUGCACAAUGGGCGCAAGCCUGAUGCAGCCAUGCCGCGUGUAUGAAGAAGGCCUUCGGGUUGUAAAGUACUUUCAGCGGGGAGGAAGGGAGUAAAGUUAAUACCUUUGCUCAUUGACGUUACCCGCAGAAGAAGCACCGGCUAACUCCGUGCCAGCAGCCGCGGUAAUACGGAGGGUGCAAGCGGUAAUCGGAAUUACUGGGCGUAAAGCGCACGCAGGCGGUGUGUUAAGUCAGAUGUGAAAUCCCCGGGCUCAACCUGGGAACUGCAUCUGAUACUGGUAAGCUUGAGUCUCGUAGAGGGGGGUAGAAUUCCAGGUGUAGCGGUGAAAUGCGUAGAGAUCUGGAGGAAUACCGGUGGCGAAGGCGGCCCCCUGGACGAAGACUGACGCUCAGGUGCGAAAGCGUGGGGAGCAAACAGGAUUAGAUACCCCCGUAGUC
rnacentral:rRNA from 1 species